AUGUCAAUUGAAAUAUCUCAACUUAAAUGGCAAUCAAUUAGAAGGGCCUCUACCACAAGCCAUCUUUAAUUGUAGAGGUUUGGAAAUUCUAAAUCUUGGUAACAACAAGAUCAAUGAUACAUUUCCUCAUUGGUUGGAAAGUCUUGCACAAUUACGAGCUCUUGUGAUGCAUUCAAAUCAAUUGCAUGGUUCCAUUGAAGGCCCCCGGUCCAGUCGUUCUUUCUCCAAAAUUCAAAUUUUUAAUCUGUCAAAUAAUUAUUUUACUGGUCCACUUCCCGUUAAACAUAUAAAAAAUUUCAAGGUUAUGAUAAAUCUCACAAAAGAUGAAAGUGUACUGUCGUACAUGGGACUGUAUGGUCAUUCUUUGGUUGACUUCUAUAGCUAUUCUAUUGAAAUUGCAAUAAAAGGAGUAGAGAUUGAAUUGGAGAAAAUAUUCAUCGGGUUGACGAGCAUUGACCUCUCAAGUAAUGAGUUUCAAGGUGAGAUUCCAAAGGUUAUUGGAGAGCUUAACUCACUCAAAGAGCUAAACCUUUCUCAUAAUAACCUUAGUGGUUGUAUCCCAACAUCAAUGGGGAAUUUGGCAGCAAUUGAGUCGCUGGAUCUCUCUUCAAACAAGCUAGUUGGGAAGAUUCCUUCAGAGUUGAUUAGUUUGAAUUUUCUUGAAGUGUUAAAUCUUUCACAAAAUCAACUCGUUGGACUUAUACCUCAGGGAAACCAAUUCAAUACCUUCGGCAAUGAUUCCUAUGCUGGUAACUCGGGAUUGUGUGGGUUUCCAUUGCCAAAGAGCUGUGACAACACUGAGGCAUCCGUUUUCCAUGAGGAAGUAGAUCCUGAAUCUGGAUUUGAGUGGAAAGCAACAUUGAUGGGUUAUGGAAGUGGACUAGUGUUGGGAAUAUCUGCAGCAUAUAUCAUGUUCACACUUGGAAGACCCAAAUGGCUUGUGAGGAUGGUUGAAGAAGCAGGCUACAAAUUGAAGAGAUAUCUCAGAGGACAAAGGAAUUUGUAAAUCAGUAAGGAGCCCUCAUUUGUUACUGGUGGAUGGAAUGGCUUGUGUGCCAUUUUGUUGUUCGUUUUAUGCUCAGUUUGGUUUUCUUUUCUUGGUAGUGUUUUGUUUUGUCUUGCGCCCUGUCUUCUCUUCUAGGGGUUUUAUCAUGUUUUCAGAUUGUUUGUUAUAAGGGAUGCCCUGUUUUUGAUCUAGUAUGUUGCUUGGCUGUUGCUCAUUGCCAUCCAAAUGCUUGUUCUCUUCUCUAUUAUUCACCAGUGCUUAGUCCUGGUUGGUAAUGAAUUCAAUUUUUGGUUUAGUAAGGAUGGUUGUUGUAAACUCUGUAGUUUUUAUUCCUAGAAUAAUGUUUCCUUCAUGCUAAUAAAAUUGUAAGCCUGUUAUUGAUGUUUAUGGAAUUUAAAGUUGAAUUUUCUAUCUUUUUUACAAAUUUUGAGAUUGAAUUUUAGUUGAAUUCACUGCAGUUAAAUCGUGUUUUUCUGUUAAUGUUUGAAGGCAGCAAUCAGAAAGGAUAGCAUAGAAAAUGGUCUUAUGAUUAAAACUGGAGCAAAUGGAAGCUUUUAAUUGCCCUCAACUUUUGCCCUUUCACGUAGUACAGUCGGCAAGCAGGAGAACUUAACAGCAUCUAAAAGUCAAUGUUUUGAUACCUGACACUUGGUUACCUUCUUAAUCAAGUUAAGCAAACCAAAGGAAGAAAUCAGCAUCACUUGCUAAAGUCAUCUAGGCUGGCAAUUCCUUCAUCACAAGCAAUUUUUGCUUUACUUUGCUUAAUCAAAGAUUUUGCUUAUAUUUUGAGGAACUGAGCUUUGCUUAGUAAACUCUAGGUGCUUUAAACUAUCCAGCUGCCAACUUGGCUUAACCUCGGACCAUUUUGAGAACAACACUACGCAUAGUUACCAAAUCUAGUCGCCAUUGCUUAACACUUACAACUUUGACUGGCCAUUACCAAUGGAGCCAAAACUUUCCUAUAACUUCAGUUGUUCAUGAUAAAACUCUCGUUCUUUUCAAAUUCUAUUCAUGAUUCAUCCUUCUACUAGUUUAUUCAGUUGGACUAGAGUUGUUCUAAUGCCAAAUUCAAGUCAUAUUUUCUGCAUUUAGAUUUUCUUUUUGCCCUCACCAUCAUGCUAAUUAUUUCUUCACCUUCCUUUUCAAAAUGAAUUGAGAUCCUCCCCAACGCAAACUUAUUUGUCCAUAAAUAGUAUGAAAAUGUACCAAAGGUUAUAGCAGGCUGCGGCAUCACAAAGCCAUUAAUACAUAUUAUCGCACCAAACACGUAGUUUCAUGUCAAGCAUGCACAACACCACGUAAUGGCUUUUGAAUCCCAGCAAACACGCGCCUAAUUGCAUGCUGUACAGAUAGGUUGCCCACUUGCCAUUCCUUAGAAGACUUGUUUGGACGUGCUAAAUCCUGGUAACAACAAGAUCAAUGAUAUAUGUCCUCAUUGGUUGGGAAGUCUUCCACAGCUACAAGUUCUUGUAUUGCAGUCGAAUCAAUUCCAUGGUUCCAUUCAUGGCAUUAGAUCCAAUCGUUCUUUCUCUAAGAUUCAAAUUUUUGACCUCUCAAAUAAUUAUUUUACCGGCCCACUUCCUGUUAAAUAUAUAAAGAAUUUUAAGGCUUUGACAAAUCUCACAAUAGAUAAAAGUGCAAUCUGAUACAUAGGAGUGCAGGCUUUUAAUGUCAGUCACUUUAUAGUUAUUCUGUUGAAAUUGCAAUAAAAGGACAAGAGGUUGAAUUGGAGAAAAUUUUCAUCAAGGUGACGAGCAUUCACCUUUCAAAUAAUAAGUUUCAAGGUUAGAAACCAAAGGUUAUUGGAGAGCUUAAAUCACUCAAAGGGCUUAACCUUUCUCAUAACAACCUUAGUGGUUAUAUCCCUACAUGUAUGGGGAAUUUGAUUAGUCUUGAAUGGUUGGAGCUCUCUUCAAACGAGCUAGUUGGGAAGAUUCCUACACAGUUGACUAGUUUGGGUUCUCUUGCAGUGUUAAACCUUUCACAAAAUCAGCUCAUUGGACUUAUACCUCUGGGAAAACAAUUCAAUACUUUUGGUAAUGAUUCCUAUGUUGGUAACUUGGGAUCGUGUGGGUUUCCAUUGUCAAAGAGAUGUGACGACACUGAGGCAUCCGUUUUUCAUGAGGAAGCAGACUUUGAGUUUGGAUCUGUGUGGAAAGCGACAUUUAUGGGUUAUGGAAGUGGACUAGUGUUGGGAAUAUCUGCAACAAAUAUCAUGUUCACCCUUGGAAGACCCAAAUGGCUUGUGAGGAUGGUUGAAGAAGCCAGCUACGAACUUAAGAGAUAUCUCAGAGGAGGAAGAAAUUUGUAAAUUAGUAAGGAUGGUUGUUGCAAACUAUGCUUUUUUUCUUCCUAGAAUAAAUUUUCUUUCAUGCUAAUGAAACUUUAAGCCUAUUAUUGAUGUUAUAUGGAAUUUAAAUUUGAAUUUUCUAUCCCUUUUACAGAUGUUGACAUGAAAAUUUAGUUGAAUUCACAGCACUUACAUCAAUUUUUUUUUGUUAAUGUUGGAAGGCAGCAAUCAGGGAGGAUAGCAUUGAAAAUGGUCCUUGCUAAAUUGGAGCAAUGGAAGCUUUCAACUUCUCUCAAAUUUUGCCCUUUCACAUAGUACAGCAAGCAAGCAGAAGAACUUAACAGCAUCCAAUAGUCAAUGUUUUAAUACCUGACACUUGGUAAACCUUCUUAAUCAAGUUAAGCAAGCAAAAGAAGAAAUCACUGUUAAUUGCUAAAGUCAUCUGGGCUGGCAAUUCCAUCGUCACAUGCAAUUUUAGCUUUACUUUGCUUAGUCAAAGAUUUUGUUUAUGUAUAUAUUGAGGAGCUGAGCUUUGCUUAGUAAACUCCAGUUGCUUGAACAAUCCAGUUGCCAACUUGGCUUAACCUCGGACCAUGUUGAGAAGAACAUCAUGCAUAGUUACCAAAUCUAGUUGCCAUUGCUUCACAUUUACAACUUCGACUGGCCAUUACCAGUGGAGCCAAAACUUUCCUGUAAUCUCAGAUGUUCAUAAUAAAAGUCUUGUUCUUUUCAAAUUCAAUUCAUAAUUCAUCCUUCUGCUAGUAUUCAGUCGGAUUGGAGUUUUUCUAAUGCCAAAUUCAAGUAAUUUCUUUUCUCAGUUCAGGGUAGAGAUGGGUAUAUGGGAAUUCUCUUGAUCCCAAUAAAACAAGAAACUCCCCUCUUUUUCUCUUUCUCCAUUUCCAUAUUUUGUUUAAACAAGUUUCAAUCUUUUUUCUCUCCAUUUAAUUUUGUAGUUUAUUGAAUUUUUCUUAUUGAUAGAAAUUUGAAUCGAAAUUUGAAGAACCCAUCAAAGUUGUCAUCCAAAACUAAUUCUCCUGUUAUCUCCAGCAAAUUUCUUGCUUUGUUUCAAAAUUGUUUUCUUUCAAAUUGUCAUUAGCACUUUGAGACAACUGCAUGACAAAAUUAGAAGACUUAAAAAGGCUUUUGCAUCGAUCUGAAAUCAGUAGCAUCAAAAAAUGGUUUAAAUAGCAGGCUGAAUUUAUUCUGUUCAUCCUUAGCAUUUGCUUUUUGACAAGGUUGAUCUACAAAUUGUUCAAAAAACUUAGACAAUGAAUAAUAAACAUAUGAAAGUAGGUGUAAACAUUAGGAAAAUGUAGGAAAGUGAUUGUCUAUUUCUCACUCUAUUUCUACGUAAAUGCAAUUGAAAAAUGUAGGAAAAAAUUGAAACUAGAAGUACAUGGUAUAAACAUUAUGCAAAAUUGACCUUGUUGAAGGAAAUUCUGUCAUUGCUUCACUUUUAAAUUAUUGAUCUCUUUAUUUUUAUUUUUCUUGUUUCUUUUCCCUGUUGAAUUAAAAGGAAAUUUACGACUAUUAAAAAUGAAUGAACAAAUUCAAAAUUAAUACGUGUUUUGAUUAAAAAAAUAAAAUAAAAGAGAACAAAAAACAAGAAUUACGCAGAAGAAAAGGCCCAAACUAACAUCUUUUGAUAGAUAUAUAUAUUUUUUAUACUUCUUGGUUUAACGUGACAAUUUGGGAUCAAUGCAUUAAUCUGUGACACCUUUUUAUAAAUCUAGAAGUGGAAUCAACACAGAGAAAAUUGUAAUGGUAGCAAAACUUUGAAUGAGAAAAAGUUACAGAGACUUGGUAAACUAUAUGUGAUGAAUACAGUGACGUGAGGUUGGGGUUCUGCAAUGGGUGGAUCCCAUGUCCCUACACCCUAUUUGCUUUGAGGUAGCUUAAUUAACGGUGCAAAGGAGCCAGUUCCAGCAUUCAGUCUUCUUACUUCUCUCAUGUUUUCUACUAUAGCCCAGUCAAUUCUGUAAAUUGCACUUGUUGGGGAGAAUUCUGCAAUGUGUCAGUGAGUGCACGUUGUGGGGACAAUUCCAACACGUUAAAAGAUUAAAUUUCAGCCUGGUGUAGACCAUAUUAACAUUAAUAAGACAAAAUAUAUAAUGGAAUGAUUGGAUUAUAGGUCCAUAUUUUCCUUUUGUGAAAAUAACCAUCUCACCUUUUUCUUUAAGAUUGGUUUAAUUUUUCCUUUGGCGUGUGGUCUUGGUCUCUUUGAUCAUCUCAUAUUUUCUCUAAUAGAAACUCUCUAUGAAAAGAUAAAUCACUGACCUUAAUGAGCUAGACAAUUUAAUUAAUGAAUCAGAAAAAAAGUCUUGAUAUGAAGAUUUUGACUCUUACUACAUAUUAUUUACAAAUGAUAGCAUCAACCUGAUUCAUCACACAUAGACUCUCAUUUCAUUUGUUACUAAAUCAGUAAUCAAUUAUUACUAAAUCAUGGAAUUUAAGAUUCAGGGACGAAGAUUGUACUGAGAAGUAGCUGAAUAUACGUACUUUAUUCUGGUCCAACCUUGUCCAACUAAAUUAGCAAUUCUGUUUUGUUGGGGAAUAAAAAACGCUUAAUGGUUUUGAUUGUGAGCAGUAGAAAACUUUGUAUAGGAGACAAGAGACCACGGGACAGUUUGAAUAAGGAACGCAAUGUCUUUAAAGUGUUGUUUACUCAGAAACUUUGAAGCGGCAGACGACUUUGAACAGGAAAAAGUUAGAGAGACUUUGUAAUACCCCUCACAGAGUAUUUAUUAUAAAAAAAAAUUAAAUUAAAAUUAUUAAGCUAUAGUAUUUUAUAAAGAUAAUAAGUAGAUAUUAUUUUAGUAUUUUAUUUAUUUACAAUUAUGACCUUGAGUGUCUUAAUAAUUAAAAAAAUAGAAGAAUGGGUCUUUAAGUAAAAGAAGAAGUUUAAUUAAGUCAGUUUUAUUAUCACGUUUAAGUUAGUGGGAUUAAGGGUCAGUUUAUUUAUCCCAUUUAAGUUAGUGGAGUUAGGUAGUUUAUAAGUUUUAAAAGAACAGACAACAACUUACGUUAGUUCAUUCAUCAUAUUCAAACAACAGACAGUCAGAAAAGCUUAAUAUCAGGGAAGAAGAAAGACAGAGGAGAGGGAAAGAGAUUGCUGAUUAAGGUAUGUUUGGGAAUUAUAUUUUCAUAAUUUGGGUACAAAAAACCCUAAAUUAGAUAUAUUUUCUUAUUUUUUAUUUAAAUUCGGCACUUUUCUGAUGACUUUCCUGUAGCAUGAUGGGUACCAAUGGAAAGGUCUUGAAAAGAUCUUUCCCAUGGUUUUUGUAGCAUCUUGUUCGAUUUUGUGGUUUGGAAGUUACAAAUUUUUAAAGUUAAUUAAGAACCUGGUUUUCAAUAGUUUUGACAGCCCGACUUUGGGUCACCGGAACUCCAUAUUCCGGUGACGUUUUUGGCCGUUUCUUUGAGGGCUUUUGAAGUAUGAAAUUAGAUGUUUAAUUUGGCGUCAAUGUCUUGGUUAGAGGCUUCCUGUGUUAAGAGAAUUAAAGCCUCAAAGUAGGCUCAUUGAUACUGGAAACCCAGAAAUCUGGGUAUUUCUGUGAUGAAUUCUUGAAUUUUGGCUUUCGAAACUUAGGAAUCUUGUGGUCUUUUUAAUCGAAACAAAUUUUGGUCUUGUAGUAUGAUAUGCAUACUUUAAAUUGGUGUUGAUUUCAUCACUGGAUAUAAUUCAGGUUAAAAGAUAUGAGAGCUUGAAGUAAGCCAAAUGGCCAUCCAGAUUCUGAAAAUUCCAGAAAACAGAAAAUUUCUUUUUUUUAAAUUUGUUUUAAAAAAUUUGAUUUUAAUUAUUAUGUGAUAAAUUCUAUUGUAAAUUUCAUAAAUAUUGGAUAUGUGAUUUCUACUGUAUUUUUAUGUCAAGAAGUAUGUAUCUUUAUAUUUUAUAAAUUUAUUUCUUAAAUUAGUAGAUUUUAUUAAAAUAUCAAAAUUUAUGAAAUUAAUUACAAAUAUGAUUUUUUACAAGUGAAAUUAGUAUUAUUUCUCUAUCUGAAAUUUAAAGUCCUUACUGAUUUUAUGAUUUAAGUUUAAUUCUCAACCUUAUUGGAAAUUUUGUUUAAUUCAAAAAUAUAAAUAAUAAUAAUAUAUUACCUUAUUAACAAAAAAAAAAAAAAGUUCAUAAAUUGUAAUAGGAGUCGCUACACACCCUAAGUGCUUAGGAUGGUCAACGAAAAGUCGCAUUGUAGGAUCUGUUUGCAAAUUUAGUUCUGAUUUUUGUGUUUCUCGAAAUACUAGGCUACUAAGAGGAUUUUCGGAUUUGCUACUUGAAAGUAAAAUUUACGAGAUCAAGUAAGUGACUGAUAUCCCUUCGAUGUUUUCACACCUUAAAAAUUAGCUUCAAUCUGAAUUUGUACAUGAGAUAUAAUAUUUUGUCCUAUGAUUUAUUAAAAUCGAGUUAAGCAUGCAAAAUGUAUAUGUAUAUGAGUUUAUAUGUUGGAUUUAGAAUGUUGCUUAUGUAAAGCCUGAUAUCUGAUUUCGAAAUAUAUAUGACUUUAUAUAAUGUAUGCAUAUAUGAUUUCGCAAAUAUAAAUACAAAUAUUUAGUCUGAAACAAAUAUGCUUUUGUGGUGUAUGAGAUACGCUUGAGAAAUUUGAUAUACUGUUUUAUGAACUUUGGGUAAUCUAAAAAUAUAUAUUUCUGUUUUGUCUCCUAGUAUGGCUAUGCUCUGACCCUGCCAAUGGGGGUUAAAUGUUGGCCAUGUCGACAUGUAUUCUGUGAUUAGAGAUCGAUCUCCCAACCGCACUACCGGUUACAGAAUAGUAGUAUUUGUGAUAUCUGUUCAGUGCAGCCAAUGGUUGCUUCUUCUGACCCAUGCCACUGGGGUUAAUUGUGGUUCUAUUUCUGACCUAUGCCACAGGGGUUAAGUGUGGUCGUAGCAUGUUACAGGAGACCAUUAAAAGUUAAAUAUUGUGAAUAUAUUUGUUCUGUUAUUUGAAUGCGCAAAUUUUGAAGUAUGUGAUUCCAAAUAAGAUUACCCAAUAUUUUAUCUUGGCAUUUGUAAAUGAUAUUUUGCCCUGAAUGUUUUAAGCAUGCUUAAUCCGGCUGAAGGGAUGUUAGUUACUUGCUGAGUAGUUGGACUCACCCUUUCCUUCAAAUUUUUUUCAGGUUGUGAUUUGGUCAACCACGCUGGAACUUUGGGGAGUGAUGUUUAAUUUAGUAGCACUUAAAUUAUUUAGGAUUUAUUUAAAUAUUAUGAACAUCGUACUAUCUUAAUUAGUAUUCAGACUUUUAUCUUGACACAGUAGCUUUAUGGUUUUGGAGAUUUAAUUUUGAAUAUUGUCAAAUUAUGAUAUUUGGAAAUUCUGUCAAUAGAUAUAGUUUAUAAAUCACUAAAUUCUUCAGGUAUAUUAGUCUCUUUUAGUAAUGGUUUAAGAUAUAUAUUUUAGAGCCUUGCAUGUCUGUGGGAUUAUACCUUACAGGUAUGCGGCGUCUGUCAUGUCUCGGGUCUGGGGCGUGACAGACUUGGUCAACGAAUUUGUCUUGGAUGCAUUGACGUGAAGUUGGGGUUCUGCAAUGGGUGGAUCUCAUUUCCCUACACCCUAUUUGCUUUAAGGUAGCUUCAUUGACGGUGCAAAGAAGCUAGUUCCAGCGUUAAGGUCUUCUUUCUCAUCUCCUUUUUUCUACUAGCCUAGUUGAUAUUAGCAUUAAUGAGGCAAAAUAAAUAAUGGAAUGAUUUCAUCAAAUGUCCAUAUUUUCCACUUAUUGGGUACCACCACCUUUUGCUUUCAGAUUAGUUGUUGUUGUUUUUUUUGCUGUGACUCGUAAAAUUAACAUUGACAGAUCUUCUUUAUUUUUGACCUUUUCUUGAGAAAAGGACAUAAUUGUAUUAAAGGCUUCAACAAUUGCAUCAAAGAAUACACUCUCUUGAGAUAAAUUUUAAGAAACGAUAGUUAUUUCAUCAGUUUGAUAAUUGGUUCGAUCUUUAUUGAUUACUUCACUGUCAUGAACCCUCGGUUAUCCUACUUUCUAAUUCGAGAUCCCCACUUGCAAUUGGAAACUAUAGAGAAAAAACGCAUGAAACGAAUUUCUAACAAAUGAUACUUAGAAAAUAAAACCCAAUGACCCAAGAUUUGAUUUCUUUAUUAUUAUUUUUCUUCUUUCGUUUCCUUUCAGAGUUAAAAGCAAACUUACAAACAUAAAGAAUGAAUGAACUAAGUCAAAAUUAAUACGUGUUUUGAUUAAGAAAAGAAAAAUGAAACAAAGAGUGAUACACGAUGGUUCUAUUCUUCUUUAAUCUGCAUGUUGGAUUAUAGAGUCUUAUCCACUCUCAUUAUAUUUUAUUAGAAAUUUAACAAAAUGGAGUUGAACUUACUAUUUAAUAUGCAUGAUGAUUGCCUUUAAAUUUAUAGGUCAUCACUAGACCCCAUUUGCUUUUAGGUAGCUUCGUUGAUGUUGCAAAUUGCACUUUCGUUUUUACUAGUGUAAAAAGCAGAAGACUUGAAAAGGGCUUUUGCAUCCAUCUGAAAUCAGUUUCAUCAAAACAUGGUCUAAAAUAGUAGGCUGAAUUUAUUCCUUUCAUCCUUACUAUUUGCUUUUUGACAACAUAUAAUAAACAAAUGAAAGUCGGUGUGAACAUGAAGACAAACCUUGGAAGUGAUUGUCUAUUUCUUACUCUAUUUCUAUGUAAAUGCAAUUGGAAGAUGCAGGGAAAGAAUUGAAACUAGAAGUACAUGGUAUAAACAAUAAUGCAAAAUUGGCUCUGUUGAAGGAAAUUCUAUCAUUGCUAUACUUUUAAAUUAUUGAUCUUUUUAUUAUUUUUUUUCUUCCUUCUUCCCUUUGAGUUAAAAGGAAACUUAUGAAUAUAUAGAAUGAAUGAACAAAAUCAAAAUUAAUGCGCGUUUUGAUUAAAAAAAUUAAAAUAAAAGAGAGGAAAAAACAAGAAUUAAGCGAAAGAAAGAGCCCAAAUUAACAUUUUGAUAUAUAUAUAUAUAUAUAUAUAUAUAUAUAUAUAUAUAUAUACUUCUUGAUUUAACGUGACAAUUUGGGAUCAAUGCAUUAAUCUGAGACACCUUUCUAUAGAUCUAGAAGUGGAAUUAGGACAAAGAAAAUUGUAAUGGUAACAAAACUUUGAAUGAGAAAAAGGUACAGAGACUUGGUAAACUGAUUUGUGAUGAAUCCAGUGAUCGGGGUUCUGAUUUGCUUAAUUGACGGUGCAAAGAAGCUAGUUCCAGCAUUCAGUCUUCUUGCUUCCCUCAUGUUUUCUAGUAUAGCCCAGUCAAUACUGUAAAUUGCUCUUGUUGGGAAGAAUUCUGCAAUGUUUCAGUGAGUGCACGUUGUGGGGACAAUUCCAACACGGUAAAAGAUUAAAUUUCAGCCUGGUGUAGACUAUAUUAGCAUUAAUAAGACAAAGUAUACAAUGAAAUGAUUGGAUCAUAUGUCCAUAUUUUUUUCUUACGGAAAUUACCGCCUCACCUUUUUCUUUAAGAUUAGUUUAAGGUUAGUUUAAUUGAUGAAUCAGAAGAAAAGUCUUGAUAUGAAGAUUUCGACUCUUACUACAUAUUAUUCACAAAUGAUAGCACAAACCUAAUUCAUCACGCAGAGAAUCUUGUUUCAUUUUGUUACUAAAUCAAUAAUCAAUUAUUACUAAAUUAUGAAAUUUAAGAUUUAGGGAUGAAGAUUGUACUGAGAAGUUGCUGAAAUACGUACUUUAUUCUGGUCCAACCUUGUCCAACUAAAUUAGCAAUUCUGCUUUGAAGUGUUGUCUUGAAUGCAUUGAUGUGAAAUUGGGGUUCUGCAAUGGUAUAAACAUGAUGCAAAAUGGCUCUGUUGAAGGAAAUUCUAUCAUCGAUGCACUUUUGGAUUAUUAAUCUCUUUAUUUCUUUCUUUUCCCCUUUAAGUUAAAAGGAAACUUACAAAUAUAAAGAAUAAAUGAACAAAUUCAAAAUUUAUACGCGUUUUGGUAACCAAAAUCUUGAAUAUAAAUUUCAAGUUGAUUAUUAUUGUAGGGCUUAAUUCCCAUACCUUUUAAGAUAUUCUCUUUUUUGGCAUAACAUCACUUGAUCAGUUUAAUAUGAAAAGAAAUCUUCAAAUUACAUUUUUCCCUUAAAUUUCCUUCAUUAAGUCAGGAGAAAAUCAUACACUAUAUCGCAGAGAAUUUAGAGGAUGAUAUGAGAAAACUAUUUUACAGCUAAGUAACAAACAAUACAAGGCUAAACCAAUAAUGAGUGCCAUUGAGGUGCUUCUCAUUAAUUUAUUUGAAAUUGUUAAUAUUGUUUAUUUUUUAGAUAUCAUAUCAACAAGGGAGCAGAUGAAGCUUAAGUUAAAAGACAUCAAAGAAGUAAUACUUCUUAAUGAACCAAAUUUGUUAUUUCUUGGUGAUUGAGGCUGACAUAAUUGCUUUUGUUGAAAAACACAAAAAGAGAAAAGGAAAGAAUAACACAAAACAUAGAGAUUAUGCAAUUGGUACAUGUUCCAUGUCAAAAGCAUAAUGAGUAUUGCUUUUGGACCAGGUUGAAUGACAUAUUAGCUUUCCACCUGAGCACGGUAACAUUUCCCUCAAUUUGACACGUCAUCAAUUAUGAACUUCCAAGAAACCUGAGAAAACAAAAUUAUGAACUUGGAUUUGGUACCUCUUGACUAGGCAGCUUAUAAAUACUCAUCUUUGCCUUCCCACCAUUCAUAUCAUGCCAUUAAUAUUCAAUUUCUCUUGUUAAGAAACAUGUGGUGCUUACUCAAAGCCUUUCAACUCCUCCACCUUCUUUUGUUCCUCCUGACUUUUCAAGCCAAUCUUUCAUCUUCUUCUUCUUCAAUUACACAGUUGUGCUCUCCUGAAGAAGCUGCUGCAUUGAUCCAAUUCAAGACCUCUUUUUCCAUCAGUGAAUAUGCAUCUUGGAAUUGUGAUCAUUAUGCUGGCAUUAAAUCUUAUCCCAAGACAAAUUCAUGGAAGGAGGGUUCAAAUUGCUGCUCAUGGGAUGGGAUCACUUGUGAUAACGUCAACGGUCAAGUGAUUGGCCUUGACUUGAGUUGCAGUCAGCUCUAUGGCAGCAUCCCCUCCAAUAGUAGUCUCUUCCAUCUUCCACACUUGCAGAAACUCAACCUAGCCUCCAACGAUUUUAACUCUUCCAAGAUGUCAUCUAAGUUUGGUCGGUUUGCAAGUCUGGUGUAUCUUAACCUGUCUUUCGCAUCCUUUGCAGGAGAAGUCCCAUCCCAAAUCUCCCACUUGUCAAAAUUGGUUUCACUUGAUCUCUCUUGGAAUUGUUAUCAACCACUUGAUAGGCAUACUCUGGAAGGACUCGUUGAGAACCUAACAGAGGUGAGACAACUUUUUCUUGGUGAUAUCAAUAUGUCUUCUAUUAAUCCUAAUGUCUUGACGAAUCUAUCCUCAUCUCUAAGGGCCCUUAAUCUUGAGGCUUGUGAUUUGCGAGGAAAAUUCCCAAAAAACAUUUUUCACCUGCCUAACCUCAAGUCCCUCUAUUUAAGGCGCAACGAAAACCUCGCUCUCUAUUUUCCAAAGUUGAACCAGACCAGCAAUCUUCAACUUUUAGAUCUAUCAAGCAUGUUCUUCUCUACAGAAUCGAUAGAUUCAAUAGGCAAUUUACAAUCUUUGAAAUAUUUGGAUUUAUCAUGGACUUCUUUUCCUGGAGGGUGGCCUAAGACUAUCACGAAUUUAUCAUCUUUGGAGCAUUUGGAUGCAUCAGACUCAUCUUUCUCAGGAGCAUUGCCCAACUCAAUCGGGAAUCUAGUGUCCUUGGAGUAUUUAAAUCUUCAAUCAUCCAACUUGUCAGGAUCAAUUCCGAUAUCAUUGGGAAACCUCUCACAACUCAAUCAUUUAGAUUUGUCAUGGAACUAUUUUAGUGGACAAAUUCCAUCCUCACUUACAAACCUAAGACAACUCAAUCAUUUAGAUUUGUCAUGGAACUAUUUUAGUGAACAAAUUCCAUCCUCACUUACAAACCUAAGACAACUUGAAUUCUUUUCCCUUUUUUAUAACCAACUAGAGGGUUCCAUUCCUGAUGAGGUGAAUGCCUUUCCUAAUCUAAUCUCUCUAGACUUAUCUUCUAAUUUACUCAAUGGAACACUUCCCUCAUGGUUGUAUACAGUUUCCACAUUGAAGCACAUAUAUCUCAACGAUAACAAGCUCAGUGGUGAUAUCAAGGAAUUCCAGUGCAAAUCACUAGAACAGAUCCGUUUUGGGAAUAAUAAACUCAAAGGUCCUAUUCCAUCUUCAAUAUUCCAACUUGUGAAUCUUACUACAGUUGACUUUUCACAUCUAAGUGGGUUUGUACAGAUUAACAUGUUCUCAAAACUCCAAAAUCUCCAGUACCUUGAUCUUUCAUAUAGCAGUCUAUCCUUAAACUCUAAUGGUACUAGUGCUGAUUAUGUGUUUCCUAAUCUUCAGUAUUUGUACUUGUCUUCUUGCAAUGUCAAUGAAUUUCCCCAAUUUUUAAAAGGUUCAAAAAGUUUGCAACAUUUAGACCUUUCCAACAAUAAAAUUUAUGGCAAGAUUCCUAAGUGGAUGUGGGAUGUGGGGAAGGACUCUUUGACAUUCUUGAACUUAACUCACAACAAUUUGACGGAUUUUGAACAAAUUCCAUGGAAGGGAAUUGAAAUUCUUGACCUUAGCUCCAAUUUCAUUCAUGGAGAUCUUCCGAUUCCACCUUCAACAACAUCUGUCUUUCUUAUCUCAAAUAAUAAUUUGAGCGGUGAGCUCCCUUCUCUGCUAUGCAAUGCAAAUUCCUUUGAAUUUCUUGACUUGUCUCGCAACAACUUGAGUGGAAUUAUUCCACAAUGUUUUGGAAACUUAAGCCGAAGCCUUUCAGUGUUGAAUCUACAAAGGAACAACUUCUGUGGACUCAUUCCUUCGGUUUUUACAAAGGGAUGUCACUUGAAUUAUCUCAACUUAAAUGGCAAUCAAUUAGAAGGGCCUUUACCACAAGACAUCAUUAAUUGUGGAGGUUUGGAAGUGCUAAAUCUUGGUAACAACAAGAUCAAUGAUACAUUUCCUCAUUGGUUGGAAAGUCUUACACAACUACAAGUUCUUGUGCUGCAUUCGAAUCAAUUGCAUGGUUCCUUUCAAGAUCCGUGGUCCAAUCAUUCUUUCUCUAAAAUUCAAAUUUUUGAUCUGUCGAAUAAUUAUUUUACUGGUCCACUUCCCGUUAAAUAUAUAAAAAAUUUCAAGGCUAUGAUAAAUCUCUCAAAAGAUAAAAGUGCAAGGUCGUACAUGGGAGAGUAUGUUCCUUCUGCUUUGGCUAACUUCUAUAGCUAUUCUAUUGAAAUUGCAAUAAAAGGAGUAGAGAUUGAAUUGGAGAAAAUAUUCAUCGCGUUGACGAGCAUUGACCUCUCAAACAAUGAGUUUCAAGGUGAGAUUCCAAAGGUUAUUGGAGAGCUUGACUCACUCAAAGGGCUAAACCUUUCUCAUAAUAACCUUAGUGGUUGUAUCCCCACAUCAAUGGGGAAUUUGACAGCACUUGAGUCACUGGAUCUCUCUUCGAAUAAGCUUGUUGGGAAGAUUCCUACACAGUUGAAUAGUUUGGAUUUUCUUGAAGUGUUAAACCUUUCACAAAAUCAGCUCGUUGGACCUAUACCUCAGGGAAAACAAUUCGAUACCUUUGGCAGGGAUUCCUACGCUGGUAACUUGGGACUGUGUGGGUUUCUAUUAUCAAGGAGCUGUGACAACACUGAGGCACCCUUUUUUCAUGACAGCACUGAGGCACUCAUUUUUCAUGUGGAAGCAGAUUCUGAAUCUGGAUUUGUGUGGAAAGCGACAUUCAUGGGUUAUGGAAGUGGACUAGUGUUGGGAAUAUCUGCAGCAUAUAUCAUGUUCACACUUGGAAGACCCAAAUGGCUUGUGAGGAUGGUUGAAGAAGUAGGCUACAAAUUGAAGAGAUACCUCAGAGGACGAAGGAAUUUGUAAAUUAGUAAGAAGCCCUCAUCUGUCACUGGUGGAUAGAAUGGCUUGUGUUCCUUUUAUGUUCAAUAUGAUUUUCGUUUCUUGACUGUGUUUUGUUUUGUCUUGCGCCCUGACUUUUCUUCCAGGGGUUGUAUCAUGUUUUCAAGUUGUUUGUUACAGGGGAUGCCCUGUUUUUGAUCUGGUAUGUUGCUUGGCUGUUGCUUAUAGCCAUCCAAAUGCUUGUUCUCUUUUGUUUUAUUCACCAAUGAUUAUUCCUGGUUGAUAAUGAAUUCUAUUGAAGCAGACUUUGUUUUUUUUUUCUUCCUAGAAUAAAUUUUCUUUCAUACUAAUGAAAUUGUAAGACUGUUAUGGAUGCUAUAUGGAAUUUAAAGAUGAAUUUUCUAUCCCUUUUACAAAUGUUGACAUGAAAUUUUAGUUGAAUUCACCAUGCUUAAAUAACUUUUUUUUUUUUUUUUAACGUUUGAAGGCAGCACUCAGGGAGGAUAACAUUGACACUCGGCUACCUUCUCAAUCAAGUCAAGCAAGCAAAAAGAAAUCUGUGUUACUAGCUAAAGGCAUCUGGGCUGGCAAUUCGUUCAUCACAAACAAAUUUUUCUUUACUUUGCUGAAUCAAAGAUUUUGCUUGUAUAUAUAUGUAUAUAUAUAUAACUGAGCUUUACAUAUAUGUAUAUAUAUAUGUAUAUAUGUAUAUUGAAGAACUGAGCUUUGCUUUUUAAGCUUCAGGUGCUUAAACUAUCCAGUUGCCAACUUGGCUUAACCUUGAACAUGCCUUGGACCAUGUUGAGAACAACAGUAUACGUAGUUACAAAAUCUAGUUACCAUGCCUUCACACUUACAACUUUGACUGGUCAUUACCAAUGGAGCCAAAACUUUCCUAUAAUUUCAGUUGUUCAUAAUAAAAGUCUUGUUCUUUUCAAUUUCAAUUCAUAAUUCAACCUUGUGCUAGUAUUCAGUUGGACUGGAGUUGUUCUAAUGCCCAAUUCAGGUCAUAUUUUCUACCUACUUUAGUUUAAGGAGAGAACUGUAAUUCUAAAGUCUAUGGGGGCAGAUUUUGUCAUUUCUGCUCCUCUUACUUCCCACUUGCAGCAAGCAAAUCUUUCCUUCACCAACCAGACUUCUCCCAAAAACCCCCCGGCUUGGAGUAAUGAAGAGACCGAAGAGACCACCCUUCCAUGGGAAUUCUCUUCAUCCCAAUAAAACCUGAAACUCCCUUCUUUUUCUCUUUCUCCUCUUUCAUAUUUUGUUUAAGCAAGUUUCAAUCUUUUUUCUUUCCUUUUUUCUUUUGUAGAUUAUUGAAUUAUUCUUGUUGAUGAGAAUGGCGCUUGAAUCCUCAAUUCUCAGCCAACCCACUUUCUGUUCUUCAAGAAGGUCCUCGCCUUUCAUGCUUUUUAAUCGAAAUUUGAAGUACCCAUAAAAGUUUUUAUCCAAAACUAAUCACUACCCAGCUCCUAUUAUCUCCAGCUUUUCCAAUCCCGAGGUUUUCAAAGCCUUUGGAUUGCGAAAAACUGGAAUUUUUGGAAGUCAGGCACGUCUGGGAUUGUUAAGUGAAGACAAUGAAGAUGUGGGAAAUAAUCAGAAUCUGAUUUUGGUGAAAAGGGGAAUUUUGGUGGCAAUGGUUUGCAGUGUAUUGGUCUUUGGUUGUAAAAGAGUGUUUGCUGUUGAGGGAGUGGUUAAUGCUGGCUAUGGGGUGAUUGAGCAUUGCAUAUUGUUGUUGAGGAACGCUUGGCCUAAGUUAUCUAUGCUUCUUAAAGCUAAUCUUUCAUCUUCUUCUUCUUCAAUUACACAGUUGUGCUCUCCUGAAGAAGCUGCUGCAUUGAUCCAAUUCAAGAUCUCUUUUUCAAUCAGUGAAUAUUCAUAUUGGGAAUGCGGUGAAUCUUUUCCUAUGACAAAUUCAUGGAAGGAGGGUUCAGAUUGCUGCUCAUGGGAUGGGGUCACUUGUGAUAACAUCAAAGGUCAAGUUAUUGGCCUUGACUUGAGUUGCAGUCAGCUAAAUGGCAGCAUCCCUUUCAAUAACAGUCUCUUCCAUCUUCCACACCUACAGAAACCCAACCUAGCCUUCAACUACUUUAACUCUGCCAAGAUGUCAUCUAAGUUUGGUGGGUUUGCAAGUCUAAUGUAUCUCAAUCUCUCUUAUUCAAACUUUGAAGGACAAGUCCCAUCCCAAGUCUCCCACUUGUAGAAAUUGGUUUCACUUGAUCUCUCUGGGAAUUAUUAUUAACCACAUGACAGACAUACUGUGGAAGGACUUGUUCAGAACCUAACAGAGGUGAGACACCUUUUUCUUGACAGUAUCGAUAUGCCUUGAUGAAUCUACCCUCAUCUUUAAGGACUCUUAAUCUCAAGUACUGUGAUUUGCGAGGAAAAUUCCCAAAAAACAUUUUUCACCUGCCUAACCUCAAGUCCCUCUAUUUAGGAUACAACGAAAACCUUGCUCUCUAUUUAGAUCUAUCAGGAAUGUCCUUCUCAACAAAAUCGAUAGAUUCGACGAUCGGCAAUUUACAAUCUUUGAAAUAUUUGGAUUUAUCAUGGACUUCUUUUCUUGGAGGGUUGCCUGAGUCUAUCACGAAUUUAUCAUCUUUGGAGCAUUUGGAUGCAUCAGACUCAUCUUUCUCAGGAGGACUGCCCAACUCAAUCGGGAAUCUAGUGUCCUUGGAGUAUUUAAGUCUUUCAUCACCCAAUUUAUCAGGAUCAAUUUUGAUAUCAUUGGGAAACCUCUCACAACUCAAUUAUUUAGAUUUGUCAUGGAACUAUUUUAGUGGACAAAUUCCAUCUUCACUUACAAAGCUUAGGCAACUUGAAUUUUUGGACAUUUCUAAUAAUCAACUAGAAGGUUCCAUUCCUGAUGAAGUAGCUGCCUUUCCUAAUCUAAUUUCUUUAAACUUAUCUUUUAAUUUGAUCAACGGAACGAUUCCAUCAUGGUUGUUUACAGCUUCCACAUUGAAGUACAUAGCUCUCAUGCAUAAUCAACUCAAUGGUGAUGUCAAGGAAUUUCAAUACAAAUCACUAGAAGAGAUCUCUUUAGAGAAUUAACACUUGGUUACCUUCUUAAUCAAGUUAAGCAAGGAAAAAGAAGAAAUCGGUGUCACUUGCUAAAGUCAUCUGGGCUGGCAAUUCCUUCAUCACAAGCAAAUUUUGCUUUACUUUGCUGAAUCAAAGAUUUUACUAAGCUUUGCUUAGUAACUCCGUGUGCUUAAACUAUCCAGUUGCCAACUUGGCUUAACCUUGGACCAUGUUGAGAAGAACACUAACUGGCCAUUACCAAUGGAGCCAAAACUUUCCUAUAAUUUCAGUUGUUCAUAAUAAGAGACCUGUUCUUUUCAAAUUUUAUUCAUAAUUUAGCCUUCUGAUAGUAUUCGGUUGGAUCGGAGCUUUUGCAAUGCCAAAUUCAAGUCUUUUCUUUUCUCAGUUCAGGGUAGAGACGGUUACCUCUAAGAACUUUAGUCUAAGGAGAGAAUUGUAAUUCUAAAAUCUAUGGGGGCAAGUUUUGUCAUUUCUGCUUCUCUCACUUCCCACUUGCAGCGAGCAAAAUCUUUCCUUCACCAGCCAGACUUCUCCCAAAGACCCCUCUUGGAGUAAUGAAGAGACCACCCUUCCAUGGGAAUUCUCUUCAUCCCAGUAAAACCUGAAACUCCCUUCUUUUUCUCUUUCUCCUUUUUCCAUAUUUUGUUUAAACAUUUUGUAGCAGGAUUAGGAACUUAAUUUUCCGCAUUUAGAUUUUCUUUUUGCCCUCACCAUCAUGCCAAUUUUAUCUUCACCUUCCUUAUCAGAAUGAAUUGAGAUCCUCCCCAUCACAAACUUCUGUGUCCAUAAUAAAUAGUAUGAAAAUGUAGCAAAGGUAUUGCAGGCUGUGGCAUUGCAAAGCCAUUUCUUCUUCAUCUUCUUAUUCAUGGCUACCAGCAUCACCACUAAUAGCGACUAUUAAAGUUGAGUUGUGGCUGCAAGCAUCAGCCUCUGUUAGUGAAACAAAAGACAACGGUCAUGUUAUUCAUCCAUUCAUCAUCAUAAAGUUUGUACAAGGGAUAUGUUAAUACAUAUUAUCGCAAGCAUGCACAACACCACGUAAUGGCUUUUGAAGCUGAGCAAGCACGCGCUAAUUUGCUUGCUGUAGAGAUAGGUUGCCCACGUGGCAUUCAUUAGAAGACUUGGAAAGUCUUUUGCUUUUCAUCAAGAAAUGGUCUAAAUAUUAAGUACUGGACAUCCUUGCCAACCAUCAUUCCUAUAAUUGGUACACCAUAAUGAGUAUUUGCUUUUGGACCAAAUUGGUCUACCAAUUGUUAAAAUAACUUGAAAUUUGAAACCAUGGUCUACCGAGAAUCAAACUUUAGACAAUAAGAAAUAACAUGAAUAAUAAACAAAUGAAAUUAGAUGUGAACAUGAAGACAGAUCUCCGAAAGUGAUUAUUUAUUUCUUUUCUCACUCUAUUAUGAAAGGGAAUUAUCAAUUAAAAUUAAAAUUUAACUCUUAUAUUCAUACUUCAAUAAUUCACUUUCAUGCGUUAUCAAUGAAUUACAAAACUGCUAUGGAUAAAAAUUACUAUUCACAUGAUCAAACAAAUGAUUAUUACUACAAAAUCACAAAAUAAAAUAAAUAAACAUCUCAAAUUGAAUUUACCAUAAUAAAAUAUUAUAUAUAUGACAACAAAAAAAAUAUAUAUUUGACAACAAAAAGUUAAAAUUUGUAGGAAGCAUUUUUUGCCUUCCCUGUGUUAUAGACAGUUUCUUUUCCUCUUGAAGACGCGACCAACAUUAAUUUGCUCCUUGCAAUAAUCCCAACCUCCAACAUUAAAAUGAAAAAGAAAAAUGGGUGAGAAGAUAUGGCUUUGGUCAGUCGAGUCUAAUUGACAAUCUCUGUUCCAAAAUUGACAAAGAAACAUCAAUAUGAAAUUAGGACUCUUCUUUUUGUUCUUGCCUUGAAAGAAUUAAAUUCAACAUCGAGAUGGACAUUACCAAAGUAAAAGGGAGAUUCCUAAAGCUUUUCCAUAGAUUUUUGAAGAAGUAUUUUAACUAAUUCUCUCUCAAAAAAAAAAAAAAGGAAUAGAGAUGCUUUAUUAAAGAAAAUUCUAACUAAUACAAAUUAGCUUCAUGUUUGUGAUCCUAAAUCUAAUAAUGUAUAUCUUCAUAAGAUUUCAAGAAAUUAGUUCCAGCAUUCAGUCUUCUUGCUUCUCUCAUGUUUUCUAGUAUAGCCCAGUCAAUACUGUAAAUUGCCCUUGUUGGGGAGAAUUCUGCAAUGUUUCAGUGAGUGCACGUUGUGGGGGCAAUUCCAACACGGUAGAAGAUUAAAUUUCAGCCUGGUGUAGACCAUAUUAGCAUUAAUAAGACCAAGUUUAUAAUGGAAUGAUUGGAUCACACGUCCAUAUUGUCCUUUUACGGAAAUAACCACCUCACCUUUUUCUUUAAGAUUAGUUUAAUUUUUCCUUUUGACAUGUGGUCUUGGUCUCUUUGAUCAUCUCAUAUUUUCUCUAAUAGAAACUCUCUGUGAAAAGACAAAUCACUGAUCUUAAUGAGCUAGAUAAUCUAAUUAAUGAAUCAGAAGAAAAGUCUUGAUAUGAAAAUUUCGACUUUUACUGCAUAUUAUUUACAAAUGACAGCAUCAACCUCAUUCAUCACGCAGAGACUUUGUAUAGGAGACAAGACACCAUGGACAGUUUGAAUAAGGAAUGCAAUGUCUUUGAAGUGUUGUUUACUCUGAAACUUUGAAGUAGCAGACUACUUUUAACAGGAAAAAGUUAGAGGGACUUGGUAAACUAAUUUGUCUUGAAUGCAUUGACGUGAAGUUGGGGUUCUGCAGUGGUAUAAACAUGAUGCAAAAUGGCUCUGAUAAAGGAAAUUUUAUCAUCGCUGCGCUUUUGAAUUAUUGAUUUCUUUAUUUCUUUCUUUUCCCCUUUAAGUUAAAAAGAAACUUACGAACAUAAAGAAUGAAUAAAUAAAAUCAAAAUUAAUACGCGUUUUAGUUAAGAAAAAAAAAAUAAAAGAGAGAAAGACGGAAAACCUUUUCAAAAUGUUUACUUUAGAAGUAGAAGUCAUAUAGAUUUUUUCAUGCACGUAUUUCACGCGAGAAUGGUAAAGAGUGAUACGUCAUUGCUCUAUUCCUCUUUAAUCUGUAUGUUAGAUUAUGGAUUCUUAUCUUCUCUCAUUAUACUUUAUUAGAAAUUUAACAAGAUGGAAUUGAACUUAAUCUUUAUUUUAAUUUGAUAUGAAAAUUUAGAAAAAUGUUAUGAAGCAAAGGGUAAUGGCACUCUCAUAACGACAAUUGGUGUAGACCAUGACUUUUCAUCAACCCAAAUUUGGGGCCAAACUAAAUUUGAGAUACAACAUAAAUAAAUACUACAUUUAUGGUCUUUGUUUCUGUUCUUCCUCUGAAUUAACUUGAAAUUUAUCACCUCUUUUCUUAACACGGCAAGAUUAAUUUAAAGUAUGGUGUACUCCACAUUAUCAUUAAUGUAAAAAAAUAUAUAAUGGAAUGAUUGAAUCAAAUGCCUUUUUUUUUUCUUUUGGUCGGUACCACCUCCUUUUGCAUUCAAAUUAGCUUGAUUUUUUUUUUCUUUUUGACCAAGACCCAAAAAGUUAACAUCGAUAAGCCUUGUUAGUCAUCUUAUCUUCUCUCUAAUUGAAACUCUCCAAUUGUUGUUUACUUCGAACUUUGAAGCAGCAGACUACUUUUCACAGGAAAAAGUCAGAGAGACUUGGUAAACGAAUUUGUCUUGAAUGCACUGACGUGAAGUUGGUGGUUCUGCAAUGGGUGGAUCUCAUGUCCCUACGCCCUAUUUUCUUUAAGAUAGCUCAAUUGACGGUUUAAAGAAGCUAGUUCCAGCGUUAAGGUUUUCCUGCUUAUCUCAUUUUUUCUACAAGGUCAAUGCUGCAAUAUUUUAGUCUAGUGUAGUCCAUAUUAGUAUCUAAUGGAAUUAUUAAAUCAAUUGCUUAUAUUUGCCAUUUAUUGGGCACCACCUUCUUAUGCUUUCAAUUUAACUUGAUUUUUCUUUUUCGCUUGAGACCUAAAAAAUUAACAUUCACAAGCCUUCUUAGUCUUCGUGGACAUUUUUUUUUUCUUGACGAAAAGACAUAAUUGGUGGACAUCUGAUGUGAAAUUGGUGGAUCCCAUGUCCCUAACACCCUAUUUGCUUUGAGGUAGCUUCGUUAUAAAAUUCACCGGUCUUUUUGUGAAUUGACUUAAAAAUUAUUGGAUCCAUAAUUUCCUCAGUUUCCUAUGACACUAAUACUCUUUUCUUUCGUUUUAUAUUGAUUUUAGCAGUUAACAUGGCACCUUAUAUAAUGCCAACUUCAACCACAAGUUUAUAUAUGAAUACAAAAUUAUAUUUGUACAUUCUUUAUAUGUAUAUACAGAGUGAAAAAUAAAUAAAAAAUUAUAUCUCAGAAUGAAUCUGUAUAUGAACGAAACCAGUAAGUUAUAAACUGUGUAUUGUUUACCACUUGGCACCAAUGCUGCCAUUCGUUUGACAUUGGUUUGAGUGGGCAGUUUAUAAAUACUCAUCUAUGCCUUCUCACCACCACUCAUAUCAAUCAUAUCAUACCAUUAUUAUAUUCCAUUUCUCUUCUUAAGAAAUUAAGAUGUGCUGCUUACUCAUCAGAUCCUUUCAACUCCUCUACCUUCUUUUCUUCCUCUUGAAUUUUCAAGCGUAUCUUUCAUCUUGUUCUUCUUCAAUAACACCAUUAUGCUCUCCUGAAGAAGCUGCUGCAUUGAUCCAAUUCAAGACCUCUUUUUCCAUCAGUCAAGAUUCAUCUUGGAAUUCUGAUCAUUAUGCUGGCAUUAACUCUUAUCCCAAGACAAAUUCAUGGAAGGAGGGUUCAGAUUGCUGCUCAUGGGAUGGGGUCACUUGUGAUAGCAUGAAAGGUCAAGUGAUUGGCCUGGACUUGAGUUGCAGUCAGCUAUAUGGCAGAAUCCCUUCCAAUAGUAGUCUCUUCCAUCUUCCACACCUACAGAAACUCAACCUAGCCCACAACAAUUUUUACUUUUCCAAGAUGUCAUCUAAGUUUGGUGGGUUUGCAAGCCUAAUGUAUCUCAAUCUCUCUGAUUCAAACUUUGCAGGUCAAGUCCCAUCCCAAGUCUCCCACUUGUCGAAAUUGGUUUCACUUGAUCUCUCUCAGAAUUAUUAUCAACCACUUGACAGGCAUACUCUGGAAGGACUCGUUGAGAACCUAACAGAGGUGAGACAACUUUCUCUUGGUCAUAUCAAUAUGUCUUCUAUUAAUCCUAAUGCCUUGACGAAUCUAUCCUCAUCUUUAAGGGCCCUUAAUCUUGAGGGUUGUGAUUUGCGAGGAAAAUUCCCAAAAAACAUUUUUCACCUGCCUAACCUCAAGUCCCUCUAUUUAGGAUACAACAAAAACCUCGCUCUCUAUUUUCCAAAGUUGAACUGGACCAGCAAUCUUGAACUUUUAGAUCUAUCAAGCAUGUUCUUCUCUAUAGAAUCGACAGAUUCAAUAGGCAAUUUACAAUCUUUGAAAUAUUUGGAUUUAUUUGGGACUUCUUUUCCUGGAGGGUUGCCUGAGUCUAUCACGAAUUUAUCAUCUUUGGAGCAUUUGGAUGCAUCAGACUCAUCUUUCUCAAGAGGAUUGCCCAACUCAAUCGGGAAUCUAGUGUCCUUGGCGUAUUUAAAUCUUCAAUCAUCCAACUUGUCAGGAUCAAUUCCGAUAUCAUUGGGAAACCUCUCACAACUCAAUCAUUUAGAUUUGUCAUGGAACUAUUUUAGUGGACAAAUUCCAUCCUCACUUACAAACCUAAGACAACUUGAAUUCUUAUCCCUUUUUUAUAACCAACUAGAGGGUUCCAUUCCUGAUGAGGUGAAUGUCUUUCCUAAUCUAAUCUCUCUAGACUUAUGUUCUAAUUUACUCAAUGGAACACUUCCCUCAUGGUUGUAUACAGUUUCCACAUUGAAGCACAUAUAUCUCAACGAUAACAAGCUCAGUGGUGAUAUCAAGGAAUUCCAGUGCAAAUCACUAGAAGAGAUCUCUUUUGGGAAUAAUAAACUCAAAGGUCCUAUUCCAUCUUCAAUAUCCCAACUUGUGAAUCUUACUAGAGUUGACUUUUCACAUCUAAGUGGGUUUGUACAGAUUAACAUGUUCUCAAAACUCCAAAAUCUCCAAUACCUUGAUCUUUCAUAUAGCAGUCUAUCCUUAAACUCUAAUGGUACUAGUGCUGAUUAUGGAUCUCCAAAUCUUCAGUAUUUGUUCUCGUCUUCUUGCAAUGUCUAUGAAUUUCCCCAGUUUUUGAAAGGUUCAAAAAGUUUGGAACAUUUAGACCUUUCCAACAAUAAAAUUUAUGGCAAUAUUCCUAACUGGAUGUGGGAUGUGGGGAAGGACUCUUUGCAGUAUUUGAAUCUAUCUCACAACUCUUUGACAGAUUUUGAGCAAAUUCCAUGGAAGGGAAUUAAAUUUCUUGACCUUAGCUCAAAUUUCAUUCGAGGAGAUCUUUCGAUUCCACCAUCAACAACAGUGAUCUUUUAUAUCUCAAAUAAUAGUUUGAGUGGAGAGAUCCCUUCUCUGCUAUGCAAUGCAAAUUCCCUUGAAUUUCUUGGCUUGUCUCACAACAACUUGAGUGGAAUUAUUCCACAAUGUUUUGGAAACUUAAGCCAAAGCCUUUUAGUGUUGAAUCUACAAAUGAACAAAUUCCGUGGAUUCAUUCCUCCGGCUUUUACAAAGGGAUGUAAAUUGAAUUAUCUCAACUUAAAUGGUAAUCAAUUAGAAGGGCCUUUCCCACAAGCCAUCAUUAAUUGUAGAGGUUUGGAAGUGUUAGAUCUUGGUAACAACAAGAUCAAUGAUACAUUUCCUCAUUGGUUGGAAAGUCUUACACACCUACAAGUUCUUGUGCUGCAUUCGAAUCAAUUGCAUGGUUCCUUUCAGGACCCGUGGUCCAAUCAUUCUUUUUCCAAAAUUCAAAUUUUUGAUCUGUCGAAUAAUUAUUUUACUGGUCUACUUCCCGUUAAAUAUAUAAAAAAUUUCAAGGCUAUGAUAAAUCUCUCAAAAGAUAAAAGUGCAAGGUCAUACAUGGGAGUGUAUGCUCGUUCUGCUGCUGCUGACUUCUAUAGCUAUUCUAUUGAAAUUGCAAUGAAAGGAGUAGAGAUUCAAUUGGAGAAAAUAUUCAUCGCGUUGACGAGCAUUGACCUCUCAAACAAUGAGUUUCAAGGUGAGAUUCCAAAGGUUAUUGGAGAGCUUGACUCACUCAAAGGGCUAAACCUUUCUCAUAAUAACCUUAGUGGUUGUAUCCCCACAUCAAUGGGGAAUUUGACAGCACUUGAGUCACUGGAUCUCUCUUCGAAUAAGCUUGUUGGGAAGAUUCCUACACAGUUGAAUAGUUUGGGUUUUCUUGAAGUGUUAAACCUUUCACAAAAUCAGCUCGUUGGACCUAUACCUCAGGGAAAACAAUUCGAUACCUUUGGCAGGGAUUCCUACGCUGGUAACUUGGGACUGUGUGGGUUUCUAUUAUCAAGGAGCUGUGACAACACUGAGGCACCCUUUUUUCAUGACAGCACUGAGGCACCCAUUUUUCAUGUGGAAGCAGAUUCUGAAUCUGGAUUUGUGUGGAAAGCGACAUUCAUGGGUUAUGGAAGUGGACUAGUGUUGGGAAUAUCUGCAGCAUAUAUCAUGUUCACACUUGGAAGACCCAAAUGGCUUGUGAGGAUGGUUGAAGAAGUAGGCUACAAAUUGAAGAGAUACCUCAGAGGACGAAGGAAUUUGUAAAUUAGUAAGAAGCCCUCAUCUGUCACUGGUGGAUAGAAUGGCUUGUGUUCCUUUUAUGUUCAAUAUGAUUUUCGUUUCUUGACUGUGUUUUGUUUUGUCUUGCGCCCUGACUUUUCUUCCAGGGGUUGUAUCAUGUUUUCAAGUUGUUUGUUACAGGGGAUGCCUUGUUUUUGAUCUGGUAUGUUGCUUGGCUGUUGCUUAUAGCCAUCCAAAUGCUUGUUCUCUUCUGUUUUAUUCACCAAUGCUUAUUUCUAGAAUAAAUUUUCUUUCAUACUAAUGAAAUUGUAAGCCUGUUAUGGAUGCUAUAUGGAAUUUAAAGAUGAAUUUUCUAUCCCUUUUACAGAUGUUGACAUGAAAUUUUAGUUGAAUUCACCAUGCUUAAAUAACUUCUUUUUUUUUUUUACGUUUGGAGGCAGCACUGAGGGAGGAUAACAUUGAAUCCUAUAAUUAAAACUGGAGCAAUGGAAGCUUUUAAUUUAUCUCAAAUUUUGCCCUUUCACAGAGUACAGCAGGCAAGCAGAAGGACUUAACAGCAUCCAAUAGUCAAUGUUUUAAUACCUGCCACUCCGCUACCUUCUUAAUCAAGUCAAGCAAGCAAAAAGAAAUCAGUGUUACUAGCUAAAGGCAUCUGGGCUGGCAAUUCCUUCAUCACAAACAAAUUUUGCUUUACUUUGCUGAAUCAAAGAUUUUGCUUAUAUAUAUGUAUAUUGAAGAACUGAGCUUUGCUUUCUAAACUUCAGGUGCUUAAACUAUCCAGUUGCCAACUUGGCUUAACCUUGGACAUGCCUUGGACCAUGUUGAGAACAACAGUAUGCGUAGUUACCAAAUCUAGUUACCAUGCCUUCACACUUACAUCUUUGACUGGCCAUUACCAAUGGAGCCAAAACUUUCCUAUAAUUUCAGUUGUUCAUAAUAAAAGUCUUGUUCUUUUCAAUUUCUAUUCAUAAUUAAUCCUUCUGCUAGUUGUAUAUGACAACAGAAAAUAAAAAAACAUUAUACUAUUUAUUCGUCAAUUGUUUAGCUCCUUGCAAUGGGAAAAUUUUAUAAUAUGAAAUUAUAAAAAAACAUUAUAUUUAUAAAAGAUAUAGUUUUCGUCAGUCGUUGCUUAAUUGACUAUCUCUACUCCAUAAUUGACACAAAGCCAUGAAAUAUGAAAUUAGAACUCUUCUUUUUGGUCUUGCCUUGAAAGAAUAAAAUCCGAUGUGAAGAUGGACAUUACCAAAGUAAUGGAGAGAUUUCUUAAGUUUUUUUAGAGAUUAUAAAAGAAGUAUUUUGACUAUUUCUUUCUCAAAGAAAGGAAAAAGAAUAGGAGAUGUUCUGCUAAAAAAAUUCUAACUAAAGCAAAAUUAGUUUCAUGUUUAUGAUCCAAAACAUUAGCAAGAAAUUGAAUAUUUAUCGACAAAUUGAAAGCAGAAAAAAGAUUAGCAAGUUUCCUUUGAGGAGUUUUAACCUUACGCCGAAACCCAUAGGACAUUCCUUGCCUAGAACAUUUUCUACUUUUCGUAUACCAAAAGGUCUUCUUUAUAUAAUAAAUUAAUUAAUUAAUAAAACAAAUUGACUGUUUGAUUCAAAGUGUUAAACUAGAGAAAAUUUCACAUGUAUGCACUGCACAGGCGUCUUCGUCAAUUAAUUGUUACUAAUUUGCUUAUUCAAAUCCUUAGUGAAAGACUAUAGGGUCCAAACAUCGUUUGCCUUAAGGAACUAUUGACCUCACUUUUUCUUUUAUUUCUUUAAAAGAAAAAAUUACUGUAUAUAACAAGUAAUUAACAUACGAGAAGUGGGAUCAGCACAUAGAAAAUUGUAAUGGCAACAAAACUUUCCAACCGGAAAAAGUUUAAGAGACUUGGUAAACUAAUUUGUGUUGAAUGCACCUGCGUGAAGUGGGGUUCAUGCAAUAUAUAUAUAUAUAUAUAGGCCACAAAGACUUUUUCAUGCAUGUACAGCAUAAGGUUGAUACAUUGAGGGAUUGGUAUGUGAAUCAGCAUAAAGUUUUCCAAAUGAUUUGGUAUGUUAAAAAGCAAAUAUGAUGGAUUCAAAAGCAUAAAGUGGCAAAAUUGAGUCUUUAUAUAUACAUAUAGUCUGCAGGUGUUAGAUGUCAGAUUAUAAACUUUAAUGAAAUAAUAUUCCAAACUUUGAACAUUUAUAAUUUCAAUUGCUUUCAGACCAAUUGACAAUUAAAUUACCUACUAUAAUUAGAGGAUUGUAACUUACACAGAAGGCUUAUAGCUAAGUUAGACAUGAGGUAAUCAAUUCUAAAUCCAUCCAACUCAAAAAGCUAAGUUAAACUCUCGAUCUUGUCUAUAACAAACUUGAAAACCAUGCAAUCAUUGUUGCCAUUCAAUAGAAAAACAAAGGUCAAUCAUUGUCUGAAAAGUGGCAUUUCAUGUGGCAAAUGAUAAUUGUAGUUACAACAGUAAAACCGUAAAACAUUGAAUUAUACCGAGAACCAAAUCAAGAAGUGCAAUCUGCACAUAGAAAAUUGUAAUGGGGAUAUGAAAUAUAGGCCACAUGGACUUUUUCAUGCACGUACAGCUCAAAGGUUGAUACAUGGAAAGAUCUGAUAUAUAUUUUUUGAAUGGCAUAAUAUAAUUAGUAAAGGAGGGAAGAGUCUCAUCAGAAAAGGAGAAACUCCAAACCCCAAUACAAAGGGGACAUCAAACAGAAAAUCGAAUCCCAGAGCAACAAGGACACCAAGCAAGAACAGUCAGGAAAAAAAGGAAUAACAAAUAGAAGAAGGAGAAAAGCACCAGAAGAAGAACCCGAAAACACAGAAAUUAACCAAAAACUUGAAUCAGGAUAAAGUUUUCCAAACGAUUUGGUAUGCCGAAAGCAUAGUGGGGUAAACAGCAAAAGUGAUAGGUUCAAAGGGAAUACAGUGGCAAAAUUGAAUCCUAUUUGUAUAUAUUUGUCUUUAUCCUCUUUAAUCUGCACAUGUACAUAAUGUGAGAUUAUCCAAAUUCUUAUAGUCUCUAUAUUUCAUUAGAAAUUGAACAAAAUGGAGUUGAAAGUUACUCUCUAAUUUAAUUUGACAUGAAAAUUUAGAAAAAUGUUCUGAUUUUGAUACUUUUAUUAAAGUAGCAAUAAAAAAAUCUAAAUUAAUUUGAGGUAUCUUGAAAAAAAAUCUUCGAAUUCCACCUUCAACAACAAGAUUCUUUUUUAUCUCAAAUAAUAAUUUGAGUGGAGAGAUCUCUUCUCUAAUAUGCAAUGUGAGUUCUCUUAUAGUUCUUGACUUGUCUCACAACAACUUGAGAGGAAUAAUUCCACAAUCCUUUCGAAAUUUGAACAAAAGCCUCUCAAUGUUGAAAUUAGAGAGGAACAAGUUUUGUGGAACCAUUCCUCUAACUUUUGUGAAGGGAUGUGAACUGAAUUAUCUAAACUUACAUGGCAAUCUAUUAGAAGGACUUUUAACACGAUCCAUCAUUAAUUGCCAAGGUUUGGAAGUGCUAGAUCUUGGUAACAAUAAGAUCAAUGAUACAUUUCCUCAUUGGUUGGGAAGUCUUGCACAGCUACAAGUUCUUGUAUUACGAUCAAACAAAUUCCAAGGUUCCACUAGGUCCAGUAAUUCAUUCUCCAAAAUCCAAAUUUUUAACCUCUCAAAUAAUUACUUUAAUGGUCCACUUCCUGUUAAAUAUAUAAAAAUUUGAAAGCUAUGAUAAAUCUCACAAAAAAUGAUAGUGCAAGUUCAUACAUGGGGCUGGAUGCAUAUUGUGGAUCUUAUAGCUAUUCUAUUAAAAUUGCAAUAAAAGGACAAGAGGUUGAAUUAGAGAAAAUUUUCAUCACGUUGACUAGCAUUGACCCCUCAAAGAAUGAGUUUCAGGGUGAGAUUCCAAAGGUUAUUGGAGAGCUUAACUCACCCAAAGGGCUUAACCUUUCUCAUAAUAACCUUAGUGGUUGUAUCCCCACAUCCAUGGGGAAUUUGAUUAGUCUUAAAUGGCUGGACCUCUCUUCAAACAAGGUGGUUGGGAAGAUUCCUACACAGUCAACUAGUUGGGGUUAUCUUGAAGUCUUAAACCUUUUAGAAAAUCAGCUCGUUGGACCUAUACCUCAAGGAAACCAAUUCAAUACCUUUGGCAAUGAUUCUUAUGCUGGUAACUUGGGAUUGUGUGGGUUUCCAUUGUCAAAGAGAUGUGACAACACUGAGGCAUCCUUUUUUCAUGAGGAAGAAGAUUCUAAAUCGUGAUUUGGGUGGAAAAUGGCAUUGAUGGGUUAUGGAAGAGGACUAGUGUUGGGAAUAUUUGUAGCAUGCAUCAUCUUCACACUUGGAAAACCAAGAUGGCUUGUAAGGAUGGUUGAAGAAGUAGGCUACAAAUUGAAGAGAUACCUCAAAGGACGAAGGAAUUUCUAAAUUAGUAAG
rnacentral:lncRNA from 1 species